CCACCCCCCUUUUGCUUCCUCUGCCUUUCUAAUUCUCAAUCUGCUUAACCAGGCUUUAGAGGCCAAGCAAAUCUGAGAUCAAUUUUCUCGUUUAGCUCUAAGUGACAUCAUCUAAAAUCAUUGUGCAAGGGCUAAAUAAGGAAACAGAGUCUAAUUCAGGGGCAAACGCCAGGCUAUAUUUAUCAAACGCCAAGCUCCAGAAAGCCUCGGCCAGGAAGCCUCGGCAGUGAAAUCCGAGGGCUCGGGGUUGCCCGCUCCCGGAAUCCCGGAGUCUCCGCGGCCCGAACCGCUUCUGGACCAUUUAGAAGACGCCGGCAGGUAACUGGCCUCCCCAAACGCCCCGAAAAUUAAAAGCCUUAGGAGGCUUGUUCUGUGUUUGUGGUUUUGUAAAGGCAAUGCCCGCGGCAAUAGGCCUGGGAAAGUCGCACUUUCAUCCACAAAGUUGAGGAGUUGCAAGGAAUAAUUGGGUGUCACACCACAAGCAACCUUGACUCGAUUGGACCCCACCCAGGAUACACACAGACGCGCGCGCGCGCACGCUUCCGAGUUUCCAUUGAGAGUCUGGAAAGAGCAUUUCUUUCUUAAGUACCUGCGCUCAGCUAGAGCUCUCCCGGAGCAUUUUAAAUACUGAAUGCCGAGCGGAGAAGGGAAACAGAGUGUAUUAAUCCCCACUCCGGUUGCCGGUGUCUGCAAGCCUCCUCUAAGCAGCGCAGGCGGCAGCCUGGAUGUCUGUGCGCAUCAAGGAGACUUGCCGGCGCCAGAGUUGUG
rnacentral:antisense_RNA from 1 species